GAAAACAUUCAAGGGGCAGAAUAGGAUCAAUACAGAGAAAAUUAGCAUGCCCCUGCGAAAGGAUGACACGCAAAUCCGUGAAGCGCUCCAUAUUGCU
ensembl:snRNA U6 U6 spliceosomal RNA